AAAUAAUUGAUCAGAUUGAUUGCUGCUUCUUACUUGCAUUUUUUUAUAUAUAUUUAAAGUACAUUCUAGUUAAAAAUGUAAAAUUACAAAUCAUUUCAUAUUUAAAUGUUGAUCUCAUCCAUCAAAGAUGAUAUGCUUCAACUUUUUCUCUGUAUGGAUUUUGUGGAUAAGCACUAAUGUACAGAAUAAUACAAGUUAAUUUAAAGUAUAUUAUUGUUUAUUUUAUUUGAAUUAUUAUUAUUAUUAUUUAUUUAUUCUUUUGCCAACCCCCAUAAUCCCAUGCCCAAACAUAAUGCAACGCGGUGACAUCGCGCUAUUGCGCCAUUUUGCGACUACUUGGCGGUCUUUUUUUGAAUCGGCAUCAAUUUAUCAGGAGGCCUGCAGUGCACUUACAGCUCGAACUGUGCCAUAUUGUUGUAAGGUUGAUGACAAAUGAGGUCAUGGCCUGUUUCAGUAUGAAGUGGGGGAAGGGGAAGCUUGCCUUCACCAAGAUCAAUCUGUACACUGUUGUCACAGAGAGUGUCCAGAAAACAUCAAAAGAGACGGGGCAAAUAUUGCAGCGGCCACCGCCUUUUGUUUAAAAUAUGCCCCAGCAGAGCCGUCGCAAGGAGGGUGAGAGGCCCUGUGCAAAGUUGACAUGCGAGGCCCUCUACAAUUUUGCGUGUGUGUGUGUGUGUGUGUGUGGUGGGGGAGGUUGCUGUAGUAAGGCAAGGCAAGUUUAUUUAUAUAGCAGAUUUCGUACACAAUGGUAAUUCAAAGUGCUUUACAUAAAAUAAAGUAAAAUAAUCAUGAAGAACAAAACUAAAACAAGCAAUUUUAAAACUUUGGAAAUGAUUUAAAAAUUGACUUGAAUUUAAAACAGUUAGAAAUAGAAAAUGAUUUUACAUAAAAUACAGUGAAUACGUAAAAUACAGUGCAAUCAGGUCGGACAUCGCACAGUGCUCAUUAAAUAAAUGCACAGCUAAACAGAUGAGUUUUGAGUCUAGAUUUAAAUGUGACUAGUGUUUUAGCACAUCUGAUCUCUUCUGGAAGCUGAUUCUGGAAGCAAUGUAUUUUGGUCCUAGGUCACUGAGUGACUUCUAGACGAGUAAAAGUACUUUAAAAUCAAUCCUAAAUGUAACUGGAAGCCAGUGUAAGGACCUGAGGACUGGUGUGAUGUGCUCAGAUGUUCUGGUUCUAGUCAGAAU
ensembl:lncRNA